UACGGAGGGNGUUAGCGUUGUUCGGAAUUACUGGGCGUAAAGCGCGCGUAGGCGGACCAGAAAGUUGGGGGUGAAAUCCCGGGGCUCAACCCCGGAACGGCCUCCAAAACUCCUGGUCUUGAGUUCGAGAGAGGUGAGUGGAAUUCCGAGUGUAGAGGUGAAAUUCGUAGAUAUUCGGAGGAACACCAGUGGCGAAGGCGGCUCACUGGCUCGAUACUGACGCUGAGGUGCGAAAGUGUGGGGAGCAAACAGU
rnacentral:rRNA from 1 species